UGGGUAUACUGCAGUGCGGGCUUUGCCUGCCAUCUCUUACCCAUGUCUUUUGAGUACCUUCGUUUCCUCGGCGGGUUCGCCCGCCGGUUGGACAACACUUAAACCCUUUGUAAUUGAAAUCAGCGUCUGAAAAACUUUAAUAGUUACAACUUUCAACAACGGAUCUCUUGGUUCUGGCAUCGAUGAAGAACGCAGCGAAAUGCGAUAAGUAGUGUGAAUUGCAGAAUUCAGUGAAUCAUCGAAUCUUUGAACGCACAUUGCGCCCCUUGGUAUUCCAUGGGGCAUGCCUGUUCGAGCGUCAUUUGUACCUUCAAGCUCUGCUUGGUGUUGGGUGUUUGUCUCGCCUUUUGCGCGCAGACUCGCCUCAAAACGAUUGGCAGCCGGCGUAUUGAUUUCGGAGCGCAGUACAUCUCGCGCUUUGCACUCACAACGACGACGUCCAAAAAGUACAUUUUUACACUCUUGACCUCGGAUCAGGUAGGGAUACCCGCUGAACUUAAGCAUAUCAAAAGGCGGAGGAA
rnacentral:rRNA from 1 species